UCCGAUAUGGUGUAGUGGUUAACAUCGUUCGCUCUCAUUGAAUCUGAUUCAUUAAGUCCCGAACAGCCCCGGGUUCGAUUCCCGGUGUCGGAA